rnacentral:lncRNA from 1 species
CAUGUCCCUGCUCCCCAAAUUAAUGCCCUUAUGAUCUCUUUUGCUUAGAUUUGUUGAGUUUAAAUGCAUUUUAUUUUUAGACAAACUACAUGACGUGCUUUUCUUAAAACAAUGCCUCCAUUCCAAAUAAAGCAUGGUCGAAAUAAAUGAAGAGCUCAAGAUGACAUCAUUCCCAUUUUCUUAAGUCCUGUUGUUGUGUGGAUGACAAGCUGCAGUCAGUUACGAUGACAGACCAUCUUCGCCUCCACUUCCACGCACAGCCAGUCUGAGAUCUCCCGGAUCUCGUGAACACACCUGAUCAUGGCUGACAAGGUCCCAGUAGAUAAUCAUGAUGGCGGCCGAUGGCAGCUAAAGGGAGACGACCAGUGGCGCUGCCUUCUAGGAGCCCGGAGCUUGGAGCUGCGCUCAUGGGGAGCGGGGGCGGGGCCUUGCUUAAAUUUCAAACAAAAAAAGGAUCAAACCAAAAAUAAAAGAAAAUAGAGGGAAAUGUAGACUAUCUUUGUGCAUUUUAAAUAUACAUAAAAUCUCCAACAUGGAUAAAGAUGUUAUUCGAUU